CCAUGGCCCAGACACUGCAGAUGGAGAUCCCGAACUUCGGCAACAGCAUCCUGGAGUGCCUCAAUGAGCAACGGCUGCAGGGCCUGUACUGUGACGUGUCAGUGGUGGUCAAGGGCCAUGCCUUCAAGGCCCACCGGGCCGUGCUUGCUGCCAGCAGCUCCUACUUCCGGGACCUGUUCAACAACAGCCGCGGCGCCGUGGUGGAGCUGCCGGCGGCCGUGCAGCCCCAGUCUUUCCAGCAGAUCCUCAGCUUCUGCUACACGGGCCGGCUGAGCAUGAACGUGGGUGACCAGUUCCUGCUCAUGUACACGGCUGGCUUCCUGCAGAUCCAGGAGAUCAUGGAGAAGGGCACCGAGUUCUUCCUCAAGGUAAGCUCCCGGAGCUGCGACUCCCAGGGCCUGCACGCAGAGGAGGCCCCAUCGUCGGAGCCCCAGAGCCCCGUGGCGCAGACAUCGGGCUGGCCAGCCUGUAGCACCCCGCUGCCCCUCGUGUCGCGGGUGAAGACGGAGCAGCAGGAGUCGGACUCCGUGCAGUGCAUGUCCGUGGCCAAGCGGCUGUGGGACAGUGGCCAGAAGGAGGCCGGGGGGGGGCGGCAACGGCAGCCGCAAGAUGGCCAAGUUCUCCACGCCGGCCCUGGCUGCCAACCGGCCUCACCAGCCCCCGCCACCCCAACAGGCUCCGGUGGUGGCAGCAGCCCAGCCCGCCGUGGCCGCGGGAGCAGGGCAGCAGGCCGGUGGGGUGGCGGCAGCAGGGGGUGUGGUGAGUGGGCCCAGCACCUCGGAGCGGACCAGCCCAGGCACCUCAAGCGCCUACACCAGCGACAGCCCUGGCUCGUACCACAAUGAGGAGGACGAGGAGGAGGACGGUGGUGAGGAGGGCAUGGAUGAGCAGUACCGGCAGAUCUGCAACAUGUACACCAUGUACAGCAUGAUGAACGUCGGCCAGACAGCCGAGAAGGUGGAGGCCCUCCCGGAGCAGGUAGCCCCUGAGUCCCGAAAUCGCAUCCGGGUUCGGCAAGACCUGGCAUCUCUCCCAGCUGAACUUAUCAACCAAAUUGGGAACCGCUGCCACCCCAAGCUCUACGACGAGGGCGACUCCUCUGAGAAGCUGGAGCUGGUGACAGGCACCAACGUGUACAUCACAAGGGCGCAGCUGAUGAACUGCCACGUCAGCGCAGGCACGGGGCACAAGGUCCUACUGCGGCGGCUCCUGGCCUCCUUCUUUGACCGGAACACACUGGCCAACAGCUGCAGCACCGGCAUCCGCUCUUCUACCAACGAUCCCCGUCGGAAGCCCCUGGACAGCCGCGUGCUCCACGCCGUCAAGUACUACUGCCAGAACUUCGCCCCCAACUUCAAGGAGAGCGAGAUGAAUGCCAUCGCGGCCUACAUGUGCACCAAUGCCCGCCGCGUCGUGCGCAAGAGCUGGAUGCCCAAGGUCAAAGUGCUCAAGGCUGAGGAUGACGCCUAUACCACCUUCAUCAGUGAAACGGGCAAGAUCGAGCCGGACAUGAUGGGUGUGGAGCAUGGCUUCGAGAACGCCAGCCAUGAGGGUGAGGCGGGUCCCUCGGCCGAAGCCCUGCAGUAACCCACCCGGCCUCAUGCGGGGCCGCACACUCCCCCUCCCAACACACACGCAUACCCACCAUCUUGGUCAUGAGCUACUGUCUGUCCCUCCCCAGGACCCGCGGUGGGUGCUGCAUGUUCCCGGCCCACUGCCCCUCCUGUCCCACCCCCUUUCCCCACCGAGAGCUGGGCCGGGAGAGGACUGCAGGGCAGGUAGCGUGAGGUCCGUGUUGCCUUCUUUAACACACACUCGUGCAGUGGGGGAGUUCUGGCUCCCCAACCUAACCCCUAGCCGUCAUCUCCAUACUCACCAGGCCCACCAGGGGAGGGGGCUGGCCUGGGGGUCUUGGGAAGGCCCCUCCCCAGGCCCUGGGCCACCUCGAGGAAGCCUUCUUCAGCCUCCGCCCCUCACUGUAGCCCAUUGAGACUUGAGGGGGGCCCCAGGGGUUCUCAGGACACCUCCCACCACCUCCCAGUGCUUCCACGUCUCCAAAAGCGCCUUCCUGUCACCCUCGUCUAUCCCUGCGCCUGGGGGCUGGGGUAGGCGAGGCCGUGGGGACUACCCCAUUUUAUAGCUGGGGAAACAGGCUCCGAGAAAUUGCACAACCGACCUAAGGUGGCCGGCAGUGGCGUGCCCGGUGCCCUUUCUCCUCUUUUCCGCCUCUGUUGCCCCCUUUGAUCCUCUGGGGCCUCAGAGAGGCAGGUCCUAAAGGAGGGGGGGUCUCUUGGGGACAGACCAAGGGUCUCGGAGGAUAGAAUGAGAGGUUUCCAGGGCUGGCAGAGUGUGUGCGUGUGUGUGUGCAGAAGUUUUGCUUUCAAACAAAUGAAGAUACAAGAGGCAGUAGGACGUGGGUUGGAACCCAGGGGAGCAGACUGGGGGGCUGCUGCCCCUCUCUCCAUCUCCCCACCCCCACCCCGCCCCACAGCAGGGCUCCUGGCCCCCACCCCCCUGUACAUAAUUUUUAAAACUUUUUUUAGCGAAUGAAAUAUUGAAGUAUAAGAUUCCUUUUAUUUUUCAAACCAAUGGGGCUGUGUCUGUUGUCCCCCUCGGUCCCCAGGGGUGGGGGGGCCUUGGAAGGCAGGGUGGUGUUGGGGGGCUGGGGGGCAGGCUGAAUGUGUGUGUGUGUGUGGAGUGCGGGUGUGUGUUUCCAUGGUAGGACUCCAGUCCCAGCUGCUGCCUAGGCUCCUGUGGGUCCGACCGGGUUUCCCCUCCCCUGUCCACCUUCCCCAACAGGGCUAUAGUUUAAAGGUGUCCCAGGCCUUGGCUGGUUGGCUGGGCCCAGCUCCUGGGGGCUGGGCAGGGCAGGGCAGGGCCGGGACUUCCAUUGUUAGCAGUUAUUUGCAGAAUUUUCUCUUUUACCAUUCCUCUCUUUUUGUUCUCGCCCAGACUGGGUGGUUUUUUGUUUUAGAUUUUCAUGUGAAGGCAGAGAGUUUUUUUUCUUUUUUAACUCCCCAUCCCCCUAUGCGGGGUGUCAUUUCACCAUCCACAUCCACAUCCUUGUUUGCGUUUCUGGCCCUCGUCCUCCCUGCCUUUCCUCUGCCUCCCCAACCCCCGCUACCCACUGCUCCCAGGGGUCUCUCCAGGGGCAGGGGGAUUUCAGGAGAUGGGGUGGGGGCCAGCCCCUACUGGACCCUUGUAAUCUGAUUUGGAGACCAUCCCGAUGAUGGGACCAGCAGCCUCGCCGGCCCACUGGGGGGUCCCUCUUAACAUCUGCUUGUUGCGGGGGUCAGUCAUGAGUGCCAGGGUCUGGCUGGGGUCUUGGCACUGUCUUCCUGGCCGGGGCCUGGCACCUUAGCCCCCAGCUGGCCCGAGUGGGGGAUAUCGACACCCCCAGCUAAAGCACAAGCACCUUAGUCACCCCUCCUCUCCCCCCGCCUCCUGGCCUGCCACCCCACCCCAGCGUUUACCCCAAAGCACAAUGCCCUGGUCACUUGGCAAGCGGCUGGGCCUGACGGAGGCCGAGGGGCAAACUGGGGCUCCAGCCAGACCCCUGAAAGGAAGCAGGUGCUCCCCCACUUCCAGGCCUUAGUUGGGGCGGGGGGGGCCAGCUCCUGGGCCUGGGGUCUUCUCACCCCCACCCCCUUGUCCUGGGUAGGCCCCUGCCUGCCCCUCUCUGCCUUUUCCUUGGGUGUCCCUCCUCAAGUCCCUGCGGCACUGGCUUGGGUGGCAGAGCCCACUUGUUUCAGGGACCCCAGGAGGUGCCCCUUGGCUCCCGGGACUGUGUGUGGGUCUGGGGGUUGGGGAGAUGGGGAGAAGGGUUGGGCAGGGGGUGCAGGGGAGGAAACUCCUCACCAGGAGAGCCAAAGACAGGGUUGUGCCUUACCCCAGGAGUCACCCCUGUGCCCCCCUUGCCGUGCCGUUCACCCUCCACCCCUCCCCCUGGGCGGCCUGCUGCUUUUUCCUUCUCUUCCUCCCCUGCCCUGCCCUGAGCUGCAUGGUUCCCCCACCCUGGGCAGCCAGGAAGGAAUCUGAAUGGAGAAUCACCAACCACCAGAGAAAAAAGACUGUGGGGCCCUCCCCUGCCAACUCCCCUUCCCUGGCCGCCCAUUCACCCACACCUCUUUCACGCAGGACAGGCUGCCCACCCUGCCCACGUGAAGUGCGAACGCCUUCCCCACCCUGGGCCGAGCCCCCACCCCUCCCUGGGCCCCCAAGUGAGAUUGCACAUUUAACUACUGUAAGGAGAGGAGCGGCGUUGGCAAAUGUGAACCAUGAGAAUAUCAGUGACACUGAUGAGAAUAAACUAAACGCCUUUGUAAAAAAAAAAAAAAAAAA